AUUGAACGCUGGCGGCAUGCCUUACACAUGCAAGUCGAACGGUAACAGGUCUUCGGAUGCUGACGAGUGGCGAACGGGUGAGUAAUACAUCGGAACGUGCCUAGUAGUGGGGGAUAACUACUCGAAAGAGUGGCUAAUACCGCAUGAGAUCUACGGAUGAAAGCAGGGGAUCGCAAGACCUUGUGCUACUAGAGCGGCCGAUGGCAGAUUAGGUAGUUGGUGGGAUAAAAGCUUACCAAGCCGACGAUCUGUAGCUGGUCUGAGAGGACGAUCAGCCACACUGGGACUGAGAAACGGCCCAGACUCCUACGGGAGGCAGCAGUGGGGAAGUUUGGACAAUGGGCGCAAGCCUGAUCCAGCAAUGCCGCGUGCAGGAUGAAGGCCUUCGGGUUGUAAACUGCUUUUGUACGGAACGAAAAGCCCCGGGUUAAUACCCUGGGGUCACGACGGUACCGUAAGAAUAAGCACCGGCUAACUACGUGCCAGCAGCCGCAGUAA
rnacentral:rRNA from 1 species